UACGGAGGGUGCGAGCGUUGUCCGGAAUCAUUGGGCGUAAAGGGCGCGUAGGUGGCCCGGUGAGUCUGUGGUGAAAGCUCGAUGCUCAACAUCGAGUCGGCCAUAGAGACUGGAGGGCUCGAGCACUGUAGGGGCAGAUGGAAUUCCGGGUGUAGCGGUGGAAUGCGUAGAGAUCCGGAAGAACACCGGUGGCGAAGGCGGUCUGCUGGGCAGUUGCUGACACUGAGGCGCGACAGCGUGGGGAGCAAACAGG
rnacentral:rRNA from 1 species